rnacentral:rRNA from 1 species
UGACGGUAACUUACCAGAAAGGGACGGCUAACUACGUGCCAGCAGCCGCGGUAAUACGUAGGUCCCGAGCGUUGUCCGGAUUUAUUGGGCGUAAAGCGAGCGCAGGCGGUUUGAUAAGUCUGAAGUUAAAGGCAGUGGCUUAACCAUUGUUCGCUUUGGAAACUGUUAGACUUGAGUGCAGAAGGGGAGAGUGGAAUUCCAUGUGUAGCGGUGAAAUGCGUAGAUAUAUGGAGGAACACCGGUGGCGAAAGCGGCUCUCUGGUCUGUAACUGACGCUGAGGCUCGAAAGCGUGGGGAGCAAACAGGAUUAGAUACCCUG